rnacentral:rRNA from 1 species
GUGCCAGCCGCCGCGGUAAUACGGAGGAUCCAAGCGUUAUCCGGAAUCAUUGGGUUUAAAGGGUCCGUAGGCGGCCUUAUAAGUCAGCGGUGAAAGUUUUUGGCUUAACCAAAAAAUUGCCGUUGAUACUGUAGGGCUUGAAUUUUUGUGAAGUAACUAGAAUAUGUAGUGUAGCGGUGAAAUGCUUAGAUAUUACAUGGAAUACCAAUUGCGAAGGCAGGUUACUAACAAACGAUUGACGCUGAUGGACGAAAGCGUGGGUAGCGAACAGGAUUAGAAACCCGUGUAGUCC